rnacentral:rRNA from 1 species
GAUGAACGCUGGCGGCGUGCCUAAUACAUGCAAGUCGAGCGAACGGACGAGAAGCUUUUUUCUCUGCUGUUAGCGGCUGACGGGCGAGUAACACGUGCAUCACCUACCUCUAUUUCUUGGAUAACUUCGGAAAACCGCAUCUACUACCACAUCAUAUUUUCAACCGCUUGGUUCAAAAGUGAAAGACGCUCUUCCCGUUUCUUUUAGCUGAAUUCGCGUUGCAUUAUCUAGUUGGUAAGGUAACGGCUCACAAAGGCGACGAUGCGUAGCCGAUCUGAGAGGGUGAUCGGCCACACUGGAACUGAGACACGGUCCAGACUCCUACGGGAGGCAGCAGUGGGGAAUAUUGGACAAUGGGCGAAAGCCUGAUCCAGCAAUACCGCGUGGGUGAAGAAGGCCUUCGGGUUGUAAAGCCCUUUUGUUGGGAAAGAAAAGCAGCAGGUUAAUACCCCGCUGUUCUGACGGUACCCAAAGAAAAAGCACCGGCUAACUUCGUG